AACGCACAUUGCGCCCUUUGGCAUUCCGAAGGGCAUGCCCGUUCGAGCGUCAAUAAGACCCAUCAAGCCUGGCUUGGUAUUGGGCGCCGGGCUAACCACCCGCGCCUCCAUUCUCUCGGCUGGACGGUUAGAAUCUCAGCGUUGUGCAAUCAAUUCGCUAGGGAGGAUCGCCGGACGCGCCGUUAAACCCAUCAAAGUCUGACCUCGGAUCGGGUAGGGAUACCCGCUGAACUUAA
rnacentral:misc_RNA from 1 species